rnacentral:lncRNA from 13 species
GCGGAUAUUUAUAUAUAUAUAUAUAUAUAUAUAUAUAUGUGUGUGUGUGUGUGUGUGUGUGUGCAUUUACUGAUACGUGUGUAUGUAUGUGAGGUGUGUGUGUGUGUGCAGCAUUAACUCUUUCCCCUGCCCAAACUGUUCCCUCUUUCCACAAUGACCACCUUCAUACAGGCAAUGACUGUUAACCAGAAACCCACUGUGACUAAAACUCAGGAGAAAAACAAUGUCUGUGCACUACUUAUAAAUAAUGAAUUGCGUAUUAAUUAUCAUUAUUAAAAAGUUACCACUAAUUUUGUAGACAAAAGUUGUAACUCACAAAAAUGGGCACUGUUGUUUCACUGUCUUCAAAUCUUUGUCUGCAAUGCUAUUGACAAUCUGGUAAUAUUACCAUUAUCCCUGAAAUGCUUGUUAAACCUAUUCUGUUCCUUGUAUUUCCUUGUAUAACUUAUUUAUUUUCAUUAUUCUUGUGUUGUUCAUUUGUCACCAGACUAGUCACUCAAUGUUAUGGUUUUAAUCUCACAAUAGUCCUUGGUUCAAUAAAAAUUCUUCCUCUUGCAUGCUGUCUGUCUGUGUGUGUCUGUAUGCAUUCGUCUGUGUGGCUGUUUGUAGGUUGUAUUUACUCUUCUGCCUGAUCACAGCUCCAAUACCAGGCACUUUCCUGUGGCCUGUAUGUGUGCGUAUCCUUGUACAUUUGUGCGCCCGGUCUUUCUAUCCCACACUGCUUCCCUCUCUCUCUCCGUCACCCUCCCCACCUCUUCUGCCUGUCACUCCGGCUCAGAAUGGCUGUCACUGAGGCCCUCGGUGUGACAGACAGACAGGACACGGCCGUCCCCGCUACUACUGCCAAAUUGGGGACAUGAAAGCCAGCAUGCUGAUCCGCUGUUUACAAAUCCCCUUCCGCUUGCUUCGAUCCUCUUCCCUCUCUUUCUCUCUUCCCGGGGACGGAUGUAAUCCGACAGGGAACCAAGCCAAUUAGCAGGGCCAGUUCCGGACCUACAUUCUCUCAUUUCCAUCAGAAAGCCCAGUAUGUGGUUAUGUUAUCCUAAAGGAUGGGCGCCAUAGACGGACCACACCCUCCUCAGACCCUACUGUAAAUCCCCCAUAGAUGGCCUGCAUCCCGAUUUGCCACCCUUCUCCCGAAGUGUACACUUGCACUUCCAUCAAGGAUUUAGCUAAUGCUUACACCAAUCCAAUACUUUUAAAUCCAUGACGGGGAGUGUGCAAGUGCACACUUUUGGGUGAAUUGAGACUUAGGCGUAGUUCUUGUAAGUGGACUAGAGUGAUGCUGGAGCUGUAAGACGUGUUUAGAUGUGUUUACGUGUCGGGGACAUUAAGCUGUGACGAGCUGAAGCUGGGAUGUUUUUCUGAACCGUAAUGUUGUUAGCUAAGUUUGUCAUGGUUUGUCACGUCAUGGUUUAGCGUUUUGACGCUUUGAAGACUGGUGUCUCUUUGUCCUCACAGGAGGGGAUUUGUUGACCUUAGGUUUUCACCUCGAAAACAUGUCGGAGUGUCUUGGAGAAUGUUUGUCUGUGUUUUUUUGUGUCUGUUUGCAGGUUGCGUUCACUCCCAAGUUUGUCUCACCACUCAUCCUGUGGGUAAAUGACUUACUUAACAACUAGAAUCUUUGAAUAGUCAGGGCAGUAGUUUUCAUUUCAUUUCAUUUAGUUUUUUUUUAUUUAUUUUUUUCAGUUUUCUGGAAUGUUGAUUUAAAAACCUGUCCAAUGUCCAUCAGCAACCACCACCAAAUUGCCUCCUCCCUGAAAAUGUUUGUCGUUCUGAGGCACGGUGCAUCCUAUAUCCUAUAUUUCUGGCAUGGCGCAAUUCUAAUUUAUAUCUUUCCUAUGGACGUCAACAGCGGCUCACGCUAUCGAGGUACGCAGCCCGAGAAAAACAAAUUAUAUAUAUUUUUUUUUCCUCUAUGUUGGACUGCUUCCUGAAAUGAUUUGGUAAUUUACUUGUUGCCGCGGUGACCUGUCAAUCAAGCAUUAGAGGGAUUUUGGAAGAAGAAAAAACGGCCAAAGAAAGGGAAAAUCCCCAUGCAUAUAUAUCAGCUACUAAACCGUCAACAUGACGGGCAGGCUUCUUCUUUCCUGUAUAGCAUAGCUCCCUUAGUACAACACCAUUGAUCUAUGUCAAGAGGUUUGGACCGCUUGGUGUAAUGGCUUGGGCUUUGGCCUGACAAACAAAGGGCAGGCGGGUUCAAGUCCUUGUAUUGCUAAUCCCGCAUUCAGUGCAAUAUAUUGGCAUGUACGAUGAUGGAUAACAAGACAACCUCUAAGGUAAAUUGCUUCAGGAUACGUAUAUCAAAUCAAAUGUAUUCAUGUAGCCCUUCGUACAUCAGCUGAUAUCUCAAAGUGCUGUACAGAAACCCAGCCUAAAACCCCAAACAGCAAGCAAUGCAGGUGUAGAAGCACGGUGGCUAGGAAAAACUCCCUAGAAAGGCCAAAACCUCAGAAGAAACCUAGAGAGGAACCAGGCUCUGAGGGGUGGCCAGUCCUCUUCUGGCUGUGCCGGGUGGAGAUGAUAACAGAACAUGGCCAAGAUGUUCAAAUGUUCAUAAAUGACCAGCAUGGUCCAAUAAUAAUAAUCACAGUAGUUGUCGAUGGUGCAGCAAGUCAGCACCUCAGGAGUAAAUGUCAGUUGGCUUUUCAUAGCCGAUCAUUAAGAGUAUCUCUACCACUCCUGCUGUCUCUAGAGAGUUGAAAACAGCAUGUCUGUGACAGGUAGCACGUCUGAUGAACAGGUCAGGAUUCCAUAGCCGCAGGCAGAACAGUUGAAACUGGAGCAGCAGCACGGCCAGGAGGACUGGGGACAGCAAGGAGUCCUCAUGCCAGGUAGUCCUAAGGCAUUGUCCUAGGGCUCAGGUCCCCCGAGAGAGAGAAAGAAAGAGAGCAUUAGAGAGAGCAUACUUAAAUUAACACAGGACACCAGAUAAGACUGGAGAAGUACUCCAGAUAUAACAAACUGACCCUUACCACCCUGAGAGUAUAGCCCACAAAGAUCUCCGAUCUCCGCCACGGCACAACCCAAGGGGGGGUGCCAACCCAGACAGGAAGAUCACAUCAGUGACUCAACCCACUCAAGUGACGUACCCCUCCUAGGGACGGCAUGAAAGAGCACCAGUAAGCCAGUGACUCAGCCCCUGUAAUAGGGUUAGAGGCAGAUAAUCCCAGUGGAAAGAGGGGAACCGGCCAGGCAGAGACAGCAAGGGCAGUUCGUUGCUCCAGUGCCUUUCCGUUCACCUUCCCACUCCUGGGCCAGACUACACUCGAUCAUAUGACCCACUGAAGAGAUGAGUCUUCAGUAAAGACUUAUAUAUGGACGUCUGGAUAUUCCAGACAUAUGUAUAUGGCUAGACGAAAACACCAGUCAACCUCAGACGAUGGAUGCUCAUCAUCGUCCAAUGAAAGCAGCUCAUUGAGCCAUCGGCGAGUUGUCUCCUGGUCAUCUGAUCUCCAGCACUUCAGGUCCUUCACGUUGCAGUCGAGACUGACUGAUCUACGAAUCUCCUUGCAUCAUAAAUAACUACUCAAAAUGAUUUGUAGAUCAGUCACAAUUCAGCCAUGACGCAUCGCGGUUUUGAUGCUCGUGAUUAUGGCCUCUGUCUUCAUGGAGGCUGAUCCACCAAUGAAAGAAGCUCAUUAAGACCUCUUCAACCAAUAUAAGAAGCCCAUUGAGCUAUCAGCACAUUGUCUCCUGGUCAUCUGAUCCACAGCACUUCAGGUCCUUCACUCUAUCUUCAUCCAGCAACAUGGAGGCUCAUCGACCAAUGAAAAAGCCCAUUGAGCCAUCAGUUAGUUGUCUCCUUCUACUGGUCAUCUGAUCUCAUUGCUUUGUGUCAUUCACUCUGUCUUUAUCCAGAAACAAAAUACGCCGGGAAGCGAUUACACCUCUUCCCAUUGCCGCCGUCCCGUCGUCAAGCUCAAUGUGAUCGAUAGGUAUCUGCCGGCUGUGUGUGUGUGUGUGUGUGUGACGUACCGUCCCUCACAGGAAAAUAUUAAGUGGCUCUUAUGAGGUCUAAGGAGAAGGGCAGGAGUGGUCACAGCACAUUAACCUCUAACCGUGCCCUUUUCAUGGGGUAGGAAUGCAGUCUGUAGGGGGGAGUUGGGGAUAUGGAGGGUCACACUUCUUUCUUAUUCUCUCGUUUUCUUCCUUGGACUGUUUUGAAAUCAAAGUGCAGUGCAAUUAUUGACUGGCCAAUGGUACAUUCUCUCUUUCCCCCCUCUGUCUUUCAUUACAACUGCUCACUACUUGUUAGGAUCUUUGUCAUUGUUCUGGUGUGUCUGAAUCCUCGACACCUUUAGUAACCUGGAUGGAGUAGUUCUACUGGGACCUUUGAUCAGUCACUCUCUCACCCUACGGUAUCUCUUCAUCACGGUUUCUGUGUGCUGUCCUG